GACGAACGCUGGCGGCGCGCUUAACACAUGCAAGUCGUGCGGUGCCGAAGGCAAGUCUUACGACAAGCCUUCGACACAGCGGCGAACGGGUGAGUAACACGUGAGUAGCUGUCCUAAGGAGGGGGAUAACGCCUGGAAACGGGUGCUAAUACCCCAUAUGCCUCGCAAGAGGUAAAAGUGUACUUGUUACAGCCUUAGGGUGUGCUCGCGGCCUAUCAGCUAGUUGGUGAGGUAACGGCCCACCAAGGCUAUGACGGGUAGCCGGCCUGAGAGGGCGGCUGGCCACACUGGGAUUGAGAUACGGCCCAGACUCCUACGGGAGGCAGCAGUGGGGAAUAUUGGGCAAUGGGGGAAACCCUGACCCAGCGACGCCGCGUGGAGGAAGGAGCCCUUCGGGGUGUAAACUCCUGUUGUAAGGGAAGAAGACAGUGACGGUACCUUACGAGGAAGCCCCGGCAAACUACGUG
rnacentral:rRNA from 1 species